rnacentral:rRNA from 1 species
UACAGAGGGUGCAAGCGUUGUUCGGAAUUAUUGGGCGUAAAGGGCGCGUAGGCGGUGCGGUAAGUCUGUAGUGAAAUCUCUGGGCUCAACUCAGAGUCUGCUGCAGAAACUGCCGUGCUUGAGUGUGGGAGAGGUGAGUGGAAUUCCCGGUGUAGCGGUGAAAUGCGUAGAUAUCAGGAGGAAUACCGGUGGUGUAGACGGCUCUCUGGACCGCCACUGACGCUGAGACACGAAAGCGUGGGUAGCAAACAGG